CCCACUAGAAUCAUCUCCUUCAUUCCAUGAGUUAGGCAAAGAAGACACCAAACUCCAUUUUUCUUAUGCUAUGGCCGAACCCCAUCAAUCUCCCUCACACACUCACAAUUCUUCACCCAAACACCAAAGUUUUAGAGGCAAAUCAUUCUAAUUUCAAAGGAGAUCAAGACUCGACGAGGCGACUAUUAAGGGGGCGCAGAACGUAAAGAACGCAACAUGGCUUUGCUAUGGCCGAAGUCUUUGGAUAGCAAUUUACUCGACGAGGCGACUAUUAAGGGGGCGCAGAACGUAAAGAACGCAACAUGGCUUUGCUAUGGCCGAAGUCUUUGGAUAGCAAUUUUGUUAUGUUUCAGGUGUAUAGUAUCGAAUGUAACGGACUUCUAUCCUUGUUCCAGAAGUCCGCGAGUACAGAAAGAAGGAACCAAUCAGUAGUGCUGCAGUAGUCGAGUCCUAGAGUGUAAUUAUGUUUUUUCAAACGGUUUUAAAUAUUUUGUUUAUACUCUGAUAUGUAUAAAGGCUUUAGACUGCGCUUUAAAACCGUUUAUAUAUAUAUGAGAAACAGGGCAUUGCUUGAUAUGAGAUAUCGCUUUGUAAGACCCUGAUUUCUAAAGAUUGUUUUGUAUCGUUUAAAGAAGUUUUAUAAAAAUGUUUUGAGAA